rnacentral:lncRNA from 1 species
GAUUUGACUACGUUAGAGAGGAAUGAUUUUUGUUGGGAUCUAAAUUGCAGGAUGCAGUUUCCUUUCAAAUCAACUGUUGAAUUUAUUUCUGGCUGUGCUUAAGGAACUCAUGCUAACAGUCCAUUCAGAGGCUGAGAAACAAGGAAAGAGCAGCACACCAUAAACAAAGGUCAGGGGCAGACUGGUGCACUGUGCCCACAACCAGAGUUGCUGCUUGACACAAAUCCCACAACACUGGAGAUGGAAAUGGGAGAUGACUGGUGUUGGACCAAACCCCCUUUCUUCUGUUCAGCUUGCAUCUGCAAGAUGGGCUUCUCCCUGCACUACCACUUGCCCUUGCAAAGUGUUUGGUGAGGAGAAGUUGCUGUCACAAAAUCAUGAAACAGAAACAGCAUCAUGUGACACAGUGGAGAAUUGCACCUGUCUCACCUGUCUUCAGAGGACAAUAGACAAAAGUACUCAUGUCUGUGAAGUAACAGCAACACCAAUGCAGCAGGCUUGUAGCAAUAGACAAGCUCAUCCCUCAGAAUUACAAAGUGGAGAAGAUUCUGACUGGAUCUGUAUUAAUCCUGAAGACAUCAGUCAGCCUCUGCAUGCACUAGCCCUUCUAAUUUAAAAUUUGUGAGAAACAUCAAUGAAGUAAAACAUUUUGUUCCACCAUCAUCUUUCAGACAGAGAAUACCAGAACAACGCAGAAAAGAAUAUAUUUGGAGAAGAAAGUCAGAAACAGCUACAAAAAUGUAAAACAUUUUUUUUUCUGUGUUUUUAUCCUAUUCAGACUUGAACUCUGUCAUCAAACUUGACAACUCUGCACAAAUAAAAACAGAGAAUAUCUCUUUACCCCUCA